AGGUAACGUCUGCACCCGUAUGUGGGGACAUACGAACAUUUUGUACUCUCACCAGUUUAAGGGUCGGUGAGUUGCACGUGUCCUGAGAACUGCACACGUGAGUAAGCAUCUCCAAAACCUAGUUACAAUGCAAACUGGGCACUUCAAUGUCUGUCACCCGCAGCCAUGUUUGCUCCUGACGGUACUACUCCGUUUGUUUAAUGGCGGAUCCUGUGCCAGAAGCUAAUGGCGUCUGAGAUUGUGAAAUUAGAUACAGAAAUCAAGAAUCGACGUUCAGGUCUCUUACUCAGUAGCGUCACAACCAGCUUCCUAUCUAAUGCAUGCUAAGGUAUGCACAACUGUGGUGUCGCAGUAACUUCAGGGUGGUUCUUGCUUCCUUAUCC